rnacentral:rRNA from 1 species
UGUUUGAUGUUCUAACGUUGACCCGUAAUCCGGGUUGCGGACAGUGUCUGGUGGGUAGUUUGACUGGGGCGGUCUCCUCCUAAAGAGUAACGGAGGAGCACGAAGGUUGGCUAAUCCUGGUCGGACAUCAGGAGGUUAGUGCAAUGGCAUAAGCCAGCUUGACUGCGAGCGUGACGGCGCGAGCAGGUGCGAAAGCAGGUCAUAGUGAUCCGGUGGUUCUGAAUGGAAGGGCCAUCGCUCAACGGAUAAAAGGUACUCCGGGGAUAACAGGCUGAUACCGCCCAAGAGUUCAUAUCGACGGCGGUGUUUGGCACCUCGAUGUCGGCUCAUCACAUCCUGGGGCUGAAGUAGGUCCCAAGGGUAUGGCUGUUCGCCAUUUAAAGUGGUACGCGAGCUGGGUUUAGAACGUCGUGAGACAGUUCGGUCCCUAUCUGCCGUGGGCGCUGGAGAACUGAGGGGGGCUGCUCCUAGUACGAGAGGACCGGAGUGGACGCAUCACUGGUGUUCGGGUUGUCAUGCCAAUGGCACUGCCCGGUAGCUAAAUGCGGAAGAGAUAAGUGCUGAAAGCAUCUAAGCACGAAACUUGCCCCGAGAUGAGUUCUCCCUGACUCCUUGAGAGUCCUGAAGGAACGUUGAAGACGACGACGUUGAUAGGCC